rnacentral:rRNA from 1 species
UACGGAGGGGGCUAGCGUUGUUCGGAAUUACUGGGCGUAAAGCGCGCGUAGGCGGACCUGCAAGUCAGGGGUGAAAGCCCGAGGCUCAACCUCGGAACUGCCUUCGAUACUGCGGGUCUCGAGUCCGGGAGAGGUGAGUGGAAUUCCUAGUGUAGAGGUGAAAUUCGUAGAUAUUAGGAAGAACACCAGUGGCGAAGGCGGCUCACUGGCCCGGUACUGACGCUGAGGCGCGAAAGCGUGGGGAGCAAACAGGAU